UACAGAGGGUGCAAGCGUUAAUCGGAAUUACUGGGCGUAAAGCGUGCGCAGACGGUUGCGUAAGUCAGAUGUGAAAUCCCCGGGCUCAACCUGGGAAUUGCAUUCGAUACUGGAUAGCUAGAGUUCGGCAGAGGGAAGCGGAAUUUCUGGUGUAGCGGUGAAAUGCGUAGAUAUCAGAAGGAACAUCAGUGGCGAAAGCGGCUUCCUGGACCAGAACUGACGAUCAGGCUCGAAAGCGUGGGGAGCAAACAGG
rnacentral:rRNA from 1 species